rnacentral:rRNA from 1 species
CCUACGGGAGGCAGCAGUGGGGAAUAUUGGACAAUGGGCGCAAGCCUGAUCCAGCCAUGCCGCGUGAGUGAUGAAGGCCCUAGGGUUGUAAAGCUCUUUCACCGGAGAAGAUAAUGACGGUAUCCGGAGAAGAAGCCCCGGCUAACUUCGUGCCAGCAGCCGCGGUAAUACGAAGGGGGCUAGCGUUGUUCGGAAUUACUGGGCGUAAAGCGCACGUAGGCGGAUAUUUAAGUCAGGGGUGAAAUCCCAGAGCUCAACUCUGGAACUGCCUUUGAUACUGGGUAUCUAGAGUAUGGAAGAGGUAAGUGGAAUUCCGAGUGUAGAGGUGAAAAUUCGUAGAUAUUCGGAGGAACACCAGUGGCGAAAGGCGGCUUACUGGUCCAUUACUGACGCUGAGGUGCGAAAAGCGUGGGGAGCAAAACAGGAUUAGAUACCCUGGUAGUCCACGCCGUAAAACGAUGAAAUGUUAGCCGUCGGCAUGCAUGCAUGUCGGUGGCGCAGCUAAACGCAUUAAAACAUUCCGCCUGGGGAGUACGGUCGCAAANAAUAAAACUAACAAAGAAAGUAGACGGCGUGAGAGUAGCCGAACGGACGACGACGAAGGGAAGGAGGAG